rnacentral:rRNA from 1 species
AUGGCCGUGGAGGAGCCCUCGCCGCCGCCGGCCGCCGACUCGUCCGCGCCACGGCCGCAGCAGCCGGAAGUCGGGGCGGGGGAACGGCGGACGGACAAGCAGGGCCGGCGCCUCGAGGUGUACAACGAGGUGCUCGCCCGCCUCCGCGCCUCCGGCGGCGUCGAGAUCUCGCCGGCCUUCCAGGACGCUCUCUGGGCGCACUUCCACCGCCUGCCCGCCCGGUACGCGCUGGAUGUGAACGCGGAGAGGGCGGAGGACGUGGUGACGCACCAGCGGCUGCUCGAGGAGGCGCGCGACCCGGCGCGCCGGCCCGCCCUGUCGGUGCGCGUUGUACAGGUAUCUAGGAUUAUUGAUGGUGAUAUGGAUGAUUCCUGUGAUCAUGAGAUGGAGAUGGUUCCUUCUAGUCACUUGCCCAGCCAAAUGGUUCACCCCCCUCCUGCAUUCGGCUCGUCCUCCAAUCUAGAGGCACUAGCUCUCGAAGCAAAUGAGUCUGAUGUUGGUAGCAGCAAUAACGACGAUGAUAAUAGCGUUCAUCUCGUCUCCAGGCCAAUGCAUGAGAUAGCAUUUGCAUCAACUGAUAAGCCAAAGCUACUUAGUCAGCUGACUUGUUUGCUUGGUGAGCUCGGUCUUGACAUCCAAGAAGCACACGCAUUUUCAACAAUCGAUGGCUACUCACUGGAUGUAUUCGUUGUCACCGGUUGGCGUCUUGUGGGUACUAAACAGCUGCAAGAAAAGAUAAUGGAGAAAUUUCGCAGUGUUGAGGCACAAGCUUGUACAGUAUCAAGCGCAUCAUCACCUUCAUUGGAAGGCCUGCAAGGUGGAGAGAGUAGGCCCACAUCUACCAGUGUGCAAAUACCAUCAGAUGGAGCAGAUGUUUGGGAAAUAGACCUGAAGCUGCUCAAGUUUGGGAACAAGGUUGCAUCUGGAUCAAACGGUGACCUGUACCGUGGAUCAUACUGCAUCCAGGAUGUGGCCAUUAAAGUAGUGAGACCUGAGCGCAUCAGUGCAGAUAUGUACCAAGAUUUUGCGCAGGAAGUGUACAUUAUGAGAAAGGUUCGUCACAGGAAUGUUGUGCAGUUUAUCGGUGCCUGUACAAGACAGCCCAACUUAUAUAUUAUAACAGACUUCAUGUCAGGAGGGAGUGUAUACGAUUACCUCCAUAAAAAGGGCAGUUCCUUCAAGCUCCCAGAAAUACUAAGAGUGGCAACAGACAUCUCUAAAGGAAUGAGCUACCUGCAUCAGAACAACAUAAUUCACCGAGAUCUCAAGACUGCAAAUCUUCUCAUGGAUGAAAACAAGGUUGUAAAGGUUGCGGAUUUCGGUGUUGCACGUGUGAAAGAUACUUCCGGAGUGAUGACUGCAGAGACUGGAACUUACCGUUGGAUGGCUCCUGAGGUCAUAGAGCAUAAGCCGUAUGAUCACAAGGCAGAUGUUUUUAGCUUUGGCAUUGUUCUAUGGGAGCUUUUAACCGGCAAGAUUCCUUAUGAUUAUCUAACUCCACUGCAAGCAGCAAUAGGUGUUGUUCAGAAGGGCAUCAGGCCGACGAUUCCGAAGGAUACCAAUCCCAAGCUCGCAGAGCUGCUUCAGAAAUGUUGGCACAGAGAUUCAGCCGAGAGGCCCGAUUUCUCCCAGAUCUUGGAGAUCCUUCAGAGACUCUCCAAAGAGGUGGGAGCCGACGGCGACGGCCGGCAGAAAACAAAGUCGGGCUUCCUUUCGGCGCUGAAGAGGAGCCACUGA